UGAAAUAAUGCCAUUUGCAGCAACAUGGAUGGACCUAGAGAUUAUCAUAUUAAGUAAGGUCACCAACACCCAGGUGCCCCUGGGACCAACACCACUGCUUCCCGGUUUGAGCACUUCCAGAGGCAGCAGGGAUGACUCAUAAGCCUCCUUUCCUUGUUCGCAGCCCAGGCCUCCUGUCAGCUCCAUCCAGGCUGUACCUCGCCCUCAGCCCGGUGAGCCUCUUCCACUGGACUCUGCUGGUCAAAGCCCAGAGCUGCGUCCUGGGGUCUGCAGGACUGGAAGCCUCUAGACCCACACCCUCCCACCACCCUGCCCCAAUCACUGGUCAUUUCCUCCUUCAGGAUGCAGAAGGGGCUUGCAGGCCAUUGUGUAAACACCCAGGCAAGCCUCCUGGGUCCUGUCACCAAGACAGAGAAAAAACGGAGGUGUUCAGAAUUUUCAAAUGUGAGCAGAUCCUGAAGAGAAUUCUUUAUUAAGCAUCUUUCAGCAAAGAAGACAUUCCAGUGGCCAAAUUUGAGUAUUUCUUUUCAACAAAACAGAAUGACUCAAUGAAGUCUUUCUUGCUGAGCAGAAUUACAUCCUCAGCAUCUUUCUCAACCCAGUGCUUCAGAAGGCCAGAGCUAAUCAAAGGAUUUUGUUUGCCAGUCCUGUAAAGCCGAGGCCCCUCCACCCUGAACCUCAGCUGGGUUGGUCCCAGCUCUCACCUGGAUGACAGCCACACUCCUUAACCCUCCCGCUGCCUCCAGCCUUCCUCACUCCCCUGCGAGUCUGAGCCUCCUGUUCCUUCUCGCCGGUGAUGAAACCUUGUCUACAGCAGGGGGCGGCAGACUUUCUCUGUAGAGGGUCGAAUACAAACAUACUCAGGCCUUAAGGUAAACUCGGCCAUCCUAGUGUGAAAGCAGCCCAGGUUGGGCUGUGUUGCAAUAAAAGAUCAUUUACAAAAACAGGUGCCAGGCUGGAUUUGGCCUGUGGGCUGCAGUUUGCCAAGCCUGAUCUACAGAAGAAGGCGCAGACAGUCAGCCUGCACUGAGACCUCUCCAGGGCCUCACUUACUGCCCAGAUGCUGAUGCCUCCAGAUGCACGCCUCCAGCUGGACCUCCCUGCAGAGCACGAGGCUCUCACCUCCAGCAGGUGUCCACACCCCAAAGCCGCAUUAGUUGCUCAUGCUCAGGUCCUCCACCCCUGAGCUCAUGAUUUCUGUUCCCACAUCCCUCUCUGUAAGAUGGCAUCUCAGGGGGACGUUUUUGGAGCAUCCUCCCAGUUCAUAACAAGCCCCUUAGCCACAGACAUCUGUCCACUUCCAGCUGUUUUACCCCCUUCACCCAACUGGACCCCCACUGGGCCACUGCCUGCGGCUCAGCAGGACACCUCUGCUCAGGUGAGCAUGAGCCCGGCUGGCCAUUCAGUCUCUUCCUGGGCAAUUUGGAACUGGGUGGUGCUGGUGUUUCUUCAGGUGAAUUGGCUUAUGGUGCAUGGAUGGGAGCUAUGGGAGAGGCAUUUUCCACCAACCGGGGCCUGGGGAAGCAGCAAGAGUUGGUCUGGGAGAGAGAGAGGGGGGAGGGCUGCACAGGCAGGAUCCGAUGUGAGAAGGCUGGGCCGGGUCGUGCGCCCGUUGUACAGAUGUUGAUGAAGACUCCAAGGGAAGAGUGAUGUGGUCCCAGGGUCAGUAAUUCAGGUUUGCAGCCCUGACCUUCCUUCCCUCAACUCGGUUCCAUGCCCCUGAGCGCCUGCUCUCUGCCAGCAGGAGGGUCCCCCAGAUCACUGAAGCCCCAUCGUGCUUCGGGCGGUGGCGACCCCCGCAUCUCUGCAGCUGUGCCCCUCCUGCUCCUGGGAGCUGCCCCUCCUUCCCCUCCCACAAAGGGCUCCUGACAAGGGGGUUGAGAGCAGGGAUGGCGGGCUGACCUGCUGGGUCCAGGGUGGUUGGGGGCCAGGAAGUUCUUUAUCUUGGUUUCCACAGAACAAAGCUGGGCUGCUCCUCUGGGCCCUGGGUGGGGCGGGUGGGGGCUCUGGCUUUGGGACUAAACAGUUUACCAUGUACUCUAGUCUGUUCUGGGAGCCCAGCAGGCCCAAGAUGCUGCAACCUGGACUGGCCCCACGGGCAGGGAGGGACCAGGGAUGGCCGCAGAGUCUCAGCGAGGAGCAGGGUGUUUGCCAGAAAUCUCCAACAGGCCAUCUGCUCCCAGGGAGCAGAGCACAGUCUUGAGAGAGGAGGCCGGGUUCCUGAGCCUCAGAGGACUCUCCUAAGGGAGUUCAUUUUUUAUUUUUUAAAGAUUUGUUUUAUCAAUCUUUGAUCCAUUUGGGUUUUAAUAUGUUUGAAUGCAGCCCCUCUGGGCCUCGGCCAGCUGCUCCCCUGCCCCAUGCCGGCCCCCAGACCCCUUCUACAUCUCAGACAUAGAAGGGAGAAGGAACAAACAGUGGAUGCCAGAUGAAGGAAGAAGCAGGUUGAUCCUCCAAUUCCUUUAACAGCAAUGCCAUCCCUCUCAGGUAGCUCUGGGCUGGGGCGGCGAGCCCCCACCUGCUGUCCCCUCACUGAGACACUCCAGGGCAGCCGAAGUGCCUCAGAGGAGGAGUGGAAUUACCUCCACAGCUGGGCCAAGGCACUGGCUGUGGUUCACAGCGGGGCUGUGAAAGCCCCGGCAGAUGGAGGAGAAAGACCCCCGGCAGGUGGAGGAGAAAGACCCCGCAGGUGGAGGAGACCCACACGUUCUGUCUCUUUCACUAUGUAGAUGCUGACUAGCAAUUCAGCUCGGGAAGGUUUUGCUUCUGGAACUAAAAAAACCCUUGGGUGGAGCCCUUGUUGGGGAAUCUGUCCAGAUCACAGACAUUGGAGGCACGACUGGUACCUGGAGACAUCUGUGACCGGAGGAUCCUGUUUAAGAUGCUCUCUCCUGCUCUCACAACCAGGUGCUUGUUUUUAAAAGGAUUGUCUUCCAGGGUUCUCACACGGGUCUGCUCCCUGCCUCCUGCCUCCCCCUCACUCACUCCUCCUGACGCUGAUCUGACGGCUCCCUCCUCUGACUCCCAGUGGCUGCCCUCGGUCCUCACCCUGCCUGAGGGCCGACACCUCCACCUUUCUCUUCUCCUGCUCCCAGGACUCAGUUCCCUGCCCCUUUCCUUUUACUCCCCGACUGGUCCCCACCUCCUUCCCCAGGCGCUCUUCCUCUGUGCCCCUCCCUUAGUACGGGAACUUCAGGUCUUCAUCCUUGUUUCUGUCCUCUUCCCACUAGACUCUUACACAUGGUCUCAUUCACUCCCAAGGAGAACAGAUAAAUUCAGUGAUGCCAACAUCUGUCAUGUCCAGGCCUCCUCUCUCUAAAGCUGUUUCAUGUAACCCAUUUUUACGUGCAAUGUCUACUGGAUAUCCCAGAGGCAUCUCAAAUUCAUCAUGUUCCAUGUUGAACUGGUCUGCUCCCCCCUGAAUUCUUGUUCCUCCAUCAGUCAGUGUACUUCACCUCAGAGUGAUGUCACCGUCUCCAGCUCAGCCACCCAGAAGCCCGGGUGUUAGAGGAACUCAGGCUUUAGAGUUGAACCACUGGGCUCAGAUUCCAGUGUGACCACAUCCUGUGUAACGCUGGCAAGUUCCUGAACCCCUCUGUGCCUCAGUUCCCCAGAAUAAAAACAAUGCCCUUCUUAUAGCAUUGCAGUGAAGAACAAAGGCGAUAUCCCAUGUGACGUGGCCACAAAGAUAGCACGCAGUAAGCACGAGCUGUUAUCACCUCCCUUCCAACAACAACACGCACACACUCGCCCGCUGACUCAGCCCUGUGGGCUCUGCCUCAUCUCCACAUUCAGACCCCUGUCCUCCACCCUCCUGGCCACAGCCUUGACUCAG